rnacentral:misc_RNA from 1 species
UUAAGUUCAGCGGGUAUUCCUACCUGAUCCGAGGUCAACAUUUCAGAAAGUUGGGUGUUUUACGGCAAUGGACGCGCCGCGCUCCCGAUGCGAGUGUGCAAACUACUGCGCAGGAGAGGCUGCGGCGAGACCGCCACUGUAUUUCGGGCGGCCCCGUAAAGGGCCGAUCCCCAACGCCGACCCCCCGGAGGGGUUCGAGG